GAUGAACGCUGGCGGCGUGCCUAAUACAUGCAAGUCGAGCGAACAGACGAGGCGCUUGCUCCUCUGACGUUAGCGGCGGACGGGUGAGUAACACGUGGAUAACCUCCCUAUAAGACUGGGAUAACUUCGGGAAACCGGAGAUAAUACCGGAUAAUAUAUUGAACCGCAUGGGUCAAUGGUGAAAGACGGUUUUGCUGUCUCUUCUAGAUGCAUCCGCGCCGGAUUAGCUAGUUGGUAAGUUCACGGCUUACCAAGGCGACGAUGCGUAGCCGACCGGAGAGGGUGAUCGGCCACACUGGAACUGAGACACGGUCCAGACUCCUACGGGAGGCAGCAGUAGGGAAUCUGCCGCAGUGGGCGAAAGCCUGACGGAGCAACGCCGCGUGAGUGAUGAAGGUCUUCGGAUCGUAAAACUCUGUUAUUAGGGAAGAACAAAUGUGUAAGUAACUAUGCACGUCUUGACGGUACCUAAUCAGAAAGCCACGGCUAACUACGUG
rnacentral:rRNA from 1 species